CAAAGCCAUGGAUGCAAGAUAAGACCAUUAAGCACGUGCGUUUAGAAUUGAAUUUGAAUAAAAGAUAAAAUGUGCACCAGAUUCAGCUCAGAUCAACAUCCUUCGUGGACCACCGUGUCGGAAGUCAUUUACGGUGGCAAUGGUAACUAGAAAUGGAAUCUCAAACCUCAUCAUGACCACCUUGGCCUCCUCAUCAAGAAACUACCCUUACUUUUCCUUGAUUCUCCCUUUAAACCUAUAAUCGAGCCGAAAUAUCCAAGAAUCCUAGAAGUUCCUACGCAAAAUACAUGGAUAAGAGCAAGAUUCAGAGCCCUAACUAUUAGGGAUUUGAAUCGCCUUGAUGCAAGCUACAACAUGAUGACCUAAAUGAAUGGAGUGGUGACGAUGAACCUACAUCCGAAGCUAGAAUUGCUCCGACGAAGUGUGAGAUCAGAGAGGAUGAAGCAGCAAUGGAAACUCACUUGAAAUCCGGUCUAGUAUUGAUGAACUGUUGUUGCUGCUAGAGGAUAAGUCAUUUUAACAUGAGCUUUCAUCCACUACAGAGCAAAAUGAUGAAUUCAUUCUUGGUGAAGGUACUAAAAAAUCAGGUUCACAUCAUCCUUGUGGACACAAUCUCAACUGGAGCCUUGAUGUCACUUGAACAUGCAGGAUUUGUUGGAGAUUGUCAUCAUCUCAUCAGCUUUCCAUGUACUGACUUUUAUGAUAGUGCAGAGUGGUGGCAUGGAUCUUUUAUGGCCUUUAACAUUCUGUCUUGGCCAAGUUUUUAGGUUUAUAACUUGCUUUGUAUCUUGGUAUAAUGGUGUAACACCCCUUGAAGAAAUCCCCUCAAUUUUGAACCUAUAUGUAUUGGAACACUUUGAUGUUAGUAAGGAUUUUGUUAGGGUGGUUGGCUUAGAAGGAACUUAGGAUGUUUCAUUAUUGGAGUGGUUUUUUGAAAUGCUUGUAAAUUGUAUGGAUGUUAGAAAAUGUAGAUGGAUUAUGUAUUGAUUCAUAAUGAUAUGAAAAAUAUUUUAACUUAUAAA